rnacentral:rRNA from 1 species
GAUGAACGCUAGCGACAGGCUUAACACAUGCAAGUCGAGGGGCAGCGGGGAUGAAGCUUGCUUCAUCCGCCGGCGACCGGCGCACGGGUGAGUAACACGUAUGCAACCUGCCCCUGGCUGGGGGAUAAGCCGGAGAAAUCCGGUCUAAUACCGCGUAACAUCCUUGCGGGACAUCCCGUUAGGAUCAAAGGAAGCGAUUCCGGCCAGGGAUGGGCAUGCGGCGCAUUAGCUAGUCGGCGGGGUAACGGCCCACCGAGGCGACGAUGCGUAGGGGUUCUGAGAGGAAGGUCCCCCACACUGGUACUGAGACACGGACCAGACUCCUACGGGAGGCAGCAGUGAGGAAUAUUGGUCAAUGGGCGCGAGCCUGAACCAGCCAAGUCGCGUGAGGGAAGACGGUCCUAUGGAUUGUAAACCUCUUUUGCCGGGGAGCAAGCUGUGCCACGUGUGGCGCAGCUGAGAGUACCCGGAGAAAAAGCAUCGGCUAACUCCGUGCCAGCCGCCGCCGUAACAC